rnacentral:rRNA from 1 species
GAUGAACGCUGGCGGCGUGCCUAAUACAUGCAAGUCGAGCGAAUGGAUUAAGAGCUUGCUCUUAUGAAGUUAGCGGCGGACGGGUGAGUAACACGUGGGUAACCUGCCCAUAAGACUGGGAUAACUCCGGGAAACCGGGGCUAAUACCGGAUAACAUUUUGAACCGCACGGUUCAAAAUUGAAAGGCGGCUUCGGCUGUCACUUAUGGAUGGACCCGCGUCGCAUUAGCUAGUUGGUGAGGUAACGGCUCACCAAGGCAACGAUGCGUAGCCGACCUGAGAGGGUGAUCGGCCACACUGGGACUGAGACACGGCCCAGACUCCUACGGGAGGCAGCAGUAGGGAAUCUUCCGCAAUGGACGAAAGUCUGACGGAGCAACGCCGCGUGAGUGAUGAAGGCUUUCGGGUCGUAAAACUCUGUUGUAGGGGAAGAACAAGUGCUAGUUGAAUAAGCUGGCACCUUGACGGUACCUAACCAGAAAGCCACGGCUAACUACGUGCCAGCAGCCGCCGUAA